rnacentral:rRNA from 2 species
CACGUAGGGACCAAGCGUUGUCCGGAUUUAUUGGGCGUAAAGCGCUCGUAGGCGGUUCGGUAAGUCGGGUGUGAAACCUCCAGGCUCAACCUGGUGACGCCACCCGAUACUGCCGUGACUUGAGUUCGGUAGGGGAGCGGGGAAUUCCUGGUGUAGCGGUGAAAUGCGCAGAUAUCAGGAGGAACACCGGUGGCGAAGGCGCCGCUCUGGGCCGAAACUGACGCUGAGGAGCGAAAGCGUGGGGAGCGAACAGG